AACGAACGCUGGCGGCAGGCUUAACACAUGCAAGUCGAACGCCCCGCAAGGGGAGUGGCAGACGGGUGAGUAACGCGUGGGAAUCUACCCAGUUCUACGGAACAACACAGGGAAACUUGUGCUAAUACCGUAUACGCCCUACGGGGGAAAGAUUUAUCGGAAUUGGAUGAGCCCGCGUUGGAUUAGCUAGUUGGUGGGGUAAUGGCCUACCAAGGCGACGAUCCAUAGCUGGUCUGAGAGGAUGAUCAGCCACACUGGGACUGAGACACGGCCCAGACUCCUACGGGAGGCAGCAGGGGGGAAUAUUGGACAAUGGGCGCAAGCCUGAUCCAGCCAUGCCGCGUGAGUGAUGAAGGCCUUAGGGUUGUAAAGCUCUUUCAGUGGGGACGAUAAUGACGGUACCCACAGAAGAAGCCCCGGCUAACUUCGUGCCAGCCGCCGCCGUAAUAC
rnacentral:rRNA from 1 species